rnacentral:tRNA from 1 species
CAAGACGUAGCUUAAANAAAGCANCUAGUUUACACCUAGAAGAUUUUAUAUAACAUAAACAUNUUGA